UACGUAGGGGGCAAGCGUUAUCCGGAUUCACUGGGUGUAAAGGGAGCGUAGACGGCGAGACAAGUCUGGAGUGAAAGGCCGGGGCCCAACCCCGGGACUGCUCUGGAAACUGCCUGGCUGGAGUACAGGAGGGGUAAGUGGAAUUCCUAGUGUAGCGGUGAAAUGCGUAGAUAUUAGGAGGAACACCAGUGGCGAAGGCGGCUUACUGGACUGUAACUGACGUUGAGGCUCGAAAGCGUGGGGAGCAAACAGG
rnacentral:rRNA from 1 species